UACAGAGGAUGCAAGCGUUAUCCGGAAUGAUUGGGCGUAAAGCGUCUGUAGGUGGCUUUUUAAGUCCGCCGUCAAUCCCAGGGCUCAACUCUGGACAGGCGGUGGAAACUACCAAGCUGGAGUACGGUAGGGGCAGAGGGAAUUUCCGGUGGAGCGGUGAAAUGAGUAGAGAUCGGAAAGAACACCAACGGCGAAGACACUCUGCUGGGCCGACACUGACACUGAGAGACGAAAGCUAGGGGAGCGAAUGGG
rnacentral:rRNA from 1 species